rnacentral:rRNA from 1 species
GACGAACGCUGGCGGCGUGCUUAACACAUGCAAGUCGAACGGAAAGGCCCUGCUUUUGUGGGGUGCUCGAGUGGCGAACGGGUGAGUAACACGUGAGUAACCUGCCCUUGACUUUGGGAUAACUUCAGGAAACUGGGGCUAAUACCGGAUAGGAGCUCCUGCUGCAUGGUGGGGGUUGGAAAGUUUCGGCGGUUGGGGAUGGACUCGCGGCUUAUCAGCUUGUUGGUGGGGUAGUGGCUUACCAAGGCUUUGACGGGUAGCCGGCCUGGGAGGGUGACCGGCCACAUUGGGACUGAGAUACGGCCCAGACUCCUACGGGAGGCAGCAGUGGGGAAUAUUGCACAAUGGGCGGAAGCCUGAUGCAGCAACGCCGCGUGCGGGAUGACGGCCUUCGGGUUGUAAACCGCUUUCGCCUGUGACGAAGCGCGAGUGACGGUAAUGGGUAAAGAAGCACCGGCUAACUACGUG